rnacentral:rRNA from 1 species
GACGAACGCUGGCGGCGUGCUUAACACAUGCAAGUCGAACGGAAAGGCCCUGCUUUUGUGGGGUGCUCGAGUGGCGAACGGGUGAGUAACACGUGAGUAACCUGCCCUUGACUUUGGGAUAACUUCAGGAAACUGGGGCUAAUACCGGAUAGGAGCUCCUGCUGCAUGGUGGGGGUUGGAAAGUUUCGGCGGUUGGGGAUGGACUCGCGGCUGAUCAGCUUGUUGGUGGGGUAGUGGCUUACCAAGGCUUUGACGGGUAGCCGGCCUGAGAGGGUGACCGGCCCCAUUGGGACUGAGAUACGGCCCAGACUCCUACGGGAGGCAGCAGUGGGGAAUAUUGCACAAUGGGCGGAAGCCUGAUGCAGCAACGCCGCGUGCGGGAUGACGGCCUUCGGGUUGUAAACCGCUUUCGCCUGUGACGAAGCGUGAGUGACGGUAAUGGGUAAAGAAGCACCGGCUAACUACGUG